AGAUUACAACACAACACCAAUUCAAUUUCAUCAUCUAUCUACAACCUACGCCUUUGAUUCAGAUUUAAUAAAGACCUUUUCUUCUUAAAACCUACAACCCAUGUAAUUGGAUAAUUUAUAGUCAAAUUACAACACCUCUAAAAAUACAAAGCUCAAUAACACCAAUUCAAUUUCCUCAUCUAUCUGCAACCUACGCCUUUGAUUCAGGUAU